GUGGAACUGCACACCCUUCCCUGAUGGGGCCCUGUCUAUCAGCAGCCUGCAUGACACCUGCCCUCCGCCCUGUACAGAGGAACCAGCAGGAGGCCCUGGGAACCAGGCCUGUAAUGUGGGAAGAUGGACAGCAGGAAGCAGGGGCCAGGCUGGGGCUGGAUAUGCAUCACCCCAUCCCCAGGGCCAUAGGCUAGAGGCCAAGAGGCGGUCAGGAAAUGGGAAAUCUCGCAGGCCGUUAAGUGUGAUCUCUGUCUAAGAUUGCCCAGAUGGAGGGGAAGACAGGGCCACGCUGGCUCUCCUCACCCCGCCCCGUCCUCCUCUGUGGGGGACCCACCUUGGACGGGGAGGCCUCCAUCUGAGGUACUAGGAUGGCCCACCCUCCACCAAGAUGAAGCUGUGUCCCCUAAAGCCAUUCUCUAGAGUGCUCUCCGGGCCCGGGACUUGGGGGCAACGGGAAGCGGUGGGUGGCACAGCGGCGGCUGCCGUCUCUCUGAUCUUGGCUUCCUGGUGACAGCGGUGAGGACAGUGGUGACAGUGAAGGCGAUGUCACAAGCACGGACGCGAGACCAGGAGACAUUACUUAGCUCAGUGGGUACUAAGCCCACGGGCCUCAACUCUCCCUGGGUACGGAGAGCUGGGGUGUAACGAGAUUCGUGAUCUAUCGUCAUUGCGCAGAGGACGAUGGGAACUGCAGACACCGCCCUAACAGGAAUCACUAUGGCCACUCUCCCCUUGCAGGGAGACCCCGGGGAAGUCGGAUCCUAACCAAGGCUGCUGUUCCUUCCCAGCUUGGGGCGGCUAAAUCCAAAGGUCAGCGUGGCUGUCUUCCCUAUGCUGAAUGAGCCUCCUUUCCCAACACAAACACACACACACACACACACACGGGCUUCAGCUACAGCUCCUCUCGGAGCCCAGAUUCAGUUCAGAAUUCACAUUGAUGACGUGUUCGGAGAAUGGCUACUCAGGGAGGGCCUUGGGGCUUUCGGAGGAGACCACGAGUGCGGAGUGUGGCAUCUGCGGCCUCUUUCAACUGCUCGGCAGCCUCGGGGCCCGGGUUCUCCCCGUUUUACUUUGGAUGAAGAGACCCGAGAGCACGUGGAUUCCCAGAGGGCAGCCUCUCAAAGCCGCAAUGCGUGGAGGGCCCCGAGCCACUGCCUGAACCGUGAGACCCGCUUCCUGUUUGCCCACCGCCUUCAGGUUCUGCCAGCCCAGGGCUGAGCUGGUGCCCAGCACCCGCUAAGGUGCUCGAGAAAUAUCCCAACCCCCACCCCAUUCUCUGGUCGGUCUGGUCCAGAAUUUUAAAACUUUGUAACUUAUUUUGAAUUGUAGUAAAAUCUGCGUGCCACACACU
rnacentral:lncRNA from 1 species